UUCAUUUCUGUUUUCAGAAGCUGCCAGAGAUCUCCGUCUGCCUGGCCGCU
rnacentral:tRNA from 1 species